AUAUGUGUGUGUGUGUAUUUGGUAGGUUGUUUGGAAUAGUUGUUGAAUUUGACAAAAUAAAAUAAAAGUUUGUUGGAAAGAAAUGAUAAAGGCCAGGGAAAGAUAUAUGUGUGUGUAUGUAUUUGGAAAGAAUGUUUCCUCAGUUAUCUAAAGUUGCUCAUGUUAUGGAAUUGAACAACUGUGGAGUGAGAACAACUUGUAGAAGUUGGCUCCAGCCAUUCAAAGCUUACUUUCAGCGUGGUUCACCUAUAUAUUCUGCCAAAUCUGUGAGAUUUCGAAUGGGUCAUCCAAAAAGCCCUAAUGAUUUAGGGAGUCAUCUUCUGUGUGACUGUCACAUUACCUUCUGCUGAUGCCCGAAUGCCCUUUUGAGUUUUCGUUUUGGGGUUUGAUGGGGUUGCUUUAGUAAGAGAGAGUGUUAAUGGGAAGGUUGUGAAUUGGCUUGGUCUGUUGUUGCCAGCUGCACAAAGCUUAGCUUGGUUUGUGUUGAGCUUUUCAGCUCUGCAUUGUAAAUUCAAGGCGUCUGAGAAAUUCCCAUUGUUGUUGAGGGUGUGGUGGUUUUUUUCCUUUUUGAUUUGUCUGUGCACUCUAUAUAUUGAUGGAAGACAAUUCUCAGUAGAAGGUUCAAAGCACCUGUGUUCUCAUGUUGUGGCAAA